AUAUAUGGAGAUCAUCCCAUUCCACAGUAUGAGGUGAACCCACGGACCACAGAGAUUUUACAUCACCUUUCAGAACGCAACAGGGUCCAGAACAGGGAUGUCUACCUGGUAAUAGAGGACUUGAAGCAGAAAGCAAGUGAAUACCAGUCAGAAGCCAAGUAUCUCCAAGACCUUCUCAUGGAGAGUGUGAAUUUUUUCCCCUGCCAAUCUCUCUAGCACUGGUUCCAGGUAUCUGAAUGCUUUGGUUGGCAGUGCGGUGGCCCUUGAAACGAAGGAUGCCUCACUAACUAGUUUUAUCCCUGUAGUGAAUGAUUUGACCUCUUACCUCUUUCGUACCAAAUCCAAAAGUGAAGAAAUCAAGAUUGAACUGGAAAAUUUUGAAAAAAAAUCUAACUGCAACUUUAGUAUUAGAAAAAUGUCUACAAGAGGAUCUCAAGAAAGCAGAGUUGCAUCUGUCUACAGAAAGGGCCAAAGUUGAUAAUCGUCAUCAGAACAUGGACUUUCUAAAACCAAAGUCAGUGGAAUUCAGAUUUGGAAUCAAGGCUGCAGAGGGAGCAACUUUCAGCCAGAGGCAUGGAUGCUUCUCUGUCUCAUCAGUCCCUAGUAGCACUGUCAGAGAAACUGGCAAAAUUAAAACAACAGACUAUACCUUUGAAGAAAAAAUUGGAGUCCUAGUUAGAUUUAAUGCCGAAUCCAUCCUUGCUCAAGUGAAAAUUGAAGAAGCAGAGUGAGAAUUAGAUAGCAUUGAAGCUGAACUUACAAGAAGAGUAGACAUGAUGGAACU
rnacentral:lncRNA from 1 species